rnacentral:rRNA from 1 species
GCUGCAUGCGCAGCUACCAUGCAGUCGAACGGUGAACACGGAGCUUGCUCUGUGGGAUCAGUGGCGAACGGGUGAGUAACACGUGAGCAACCUGCCCCUGACUCUGGGAUAAGCGCUGGAAACGGCGUCUAAUACUGGAUAUGUGACGUGAUCGCAUGGUCUGCGUCUGGAAAGAAUUUCGGUUGGGGAUGGGCUCGCGGCCUAUCAUCUUGUUGGUGAGGUAAUGGCUCACCAAGGCGUCAACGGGUAGCCGGCCUGAGAGGGUGACCGGCCACACUGGGACUGAAACACGGCCCAGACUCCUACGGGAGGCAGCAGUGGGGAAUAUUGCACAAUGGGCGCAAGCCUGAUGCAGCAACGCCGCGUGAGGGAUGACGGCCUUCGGGUUGUAAACCUCUUUUAGCAGGGAAGAAGCGAAAGUGACGGUACCUGCAGAAAAAGCGCCGGCUAACUACGUGCCAGCCGCCGCGGUAAUU